GAAAUGUUAGCUUGGCAGUCUUGACGUCCUUCAAAGUCGGAUAACUCCUGACAGGUUGUGGUAGAAGCUUCAGAGGAACCACAUUCUGUAGCUGAAAUGUUUUCCCAAGGAGAAGAACUGCUGGUGUGAGCUGCAGUGAGGAGUCUCUGUUGUGGUCUCAUUUGUUGACGACCCCUGCAGUAUAUCCUCUCUCUCUCUGGUGUCUGGUGUCAAGUUUCAUUGCGCGGCAUCGUUCCCUGAGUGACUGAAAGUUCGUGCUCAACCAACUGCUGCGGAGGUGCAGCUUUUAAUAAACAGAAAAGCCCUGCA